AUUGAACGCUGGCGGCAUGCUUUACACAUGCAAGUCGAACGGUAACACGCCGUCGGGUGCGGACGCGUGGCGGACGGGUGAGUAAUUAAUCGGAAAGUGCCCAGAGCUGGGGGAUAAGGCAUCGUAAGCUGUGCUAAGACCACAUCUGAUCUGAGCAUGAACGCGGUGGACCGGGCAGCAAAGUUUGGCCUCGCGCCGUUGGAGCGGCCGAUGUCCGAUUAGGUGGUUGGGGGGGUAAAGGCCUACCCAGCGGGCGAUCUGUAGCUGGUCUGAGAGGACGGCAGGCGACACUGGGACUUAGACACGGCCAAGGCUCCUACGGGAGGCAGCAGUGGGGUAUGUUGGACAAUGGUCGCAAGUCUGAUCCAGUAAGGCCGCGUGCGAGGAGACGGCGUUCGGGUUGUAAACCGCUUUUGUACGGAACGAAAAGGCUCUGGCUAAUACCUGGGGCGGAUGACGGUACCGUAAGAAUAAGCACCGGCUAACUACGUG
rnacentral:rRNA from 1 species